rnacentral:rRNA from 1 species
AUUGAACGCUGGCGGCAGGCCUAACACAUGCAAGUCGAGCGGAUGAGGGGAGCUUGCUCCCUGAUUUAGCGGCGGACGGGUGAGUAAUGCCUAGGAAUCUGCCUGGUAGUGGGGGAUAACGUUCCGAAAGGAACGCUAAUACCGCAUACGUCCUACGGGAGAAAGCGGGGGAUCUUCGGGCCUCGCGCUAUCAGAUGAGCCUAGGUCGGAUUAGCUAGUUGGUGAGGUAAAGGCUCACCAAGGCGACGAUCCGUAACUGGUCUGAGAGGAUGAUCAGUCACACUGGAACUGAGACACGGUCCAGACUCCUACGGGAGGCAGCAGUGGGGAAUAUUGGACAAUGGGCGAAAGCCUGAUCCAGCCAUGCCGCGUGUGUGAAGAAGGUCUUCGGAUUGUAAAGCACUUUAAGUUGGGAGGAAGGGUUGUAGAUUAAUACUCUGCAAUUUUGACGUUACCGACAGAAUAAGCACCGGCUAACUUCGUGCCAGCAGCCGCAGUAAAAC